GAGUAAAAAAAAAAAAAAAAAAUAAUAUUGAAGAAAAAAAGGAGUCAAAAAGUGUACAUAACAGAAAAAAUACAAAAUCAAAAAGAUAUGAGAAUUCUUCUGCUUCGCUGUUUUUCUUAGAUGUCUUAGCUGAGAGAGAGAGAAAGAGAGAGAGGGUUUUAAUUUUAAUUUUUAAUUUUUGUGUGUUUUUCCUAUCUCAAUAUAUCUAAAUAUCUAUCAGUAUGUUUAUCUAUCUGCUAUUCUACUGCUCUACUAAUUCUAUCUUUGCGUUUUUCUUUUUCCUUCUUUUCUAUUUCUUUCUCCUUCUUUUCUGCCUGAUAUAAUUUCAUUUUUCCUUUUUCUUUGUUAUUUUUUAGCUUUUAGAAAAUCUUUCUUCUUUGUGACCACAUAAUAAAAGGUCAAGUGAAACCUCAACCCUG
rnacentral:lncRNA from 1 species